GAGUUUGAUCCUGGCUCAGGACGAACGCUGGCGGCGCGCCUAACACAUGCAAGUCGAACGGAGCUGAGAGGAGCUUGCUUUUCUUAGCUUAGUGGCGAACGGGUGAGUAACGCGUGAGUAACCUGCCCUGGAGUGGGGGACAACAGUUGGAAACGACUGCUAAUACCGCAUAAGCCCACGGUACCGCAUGGUACUGAGGGAAAAGGAUUUAUUCGCUUCAGGAUGGACUCGCGUCCAAUUAGCUAGUUGGUGAGGUAACGGCCCACCAAGGCGACGAUUGGUAGCCGGCCUGAGAGGGUGAACGGCCACAUUGGGACUGAGACACGGCCCAGACUCCUACGGGAGGCAGCAGUGGGGAAUAUUGCACAAUGGGGGAAACCCUGAUGCAGCGACGCCGCGUGAAGGAAGAAGUAUUUCGGUAUGUAAAGCUCUAUCAGCAGGGAAGAUAAUGGCGGUACCUGACUAAGAAGCUCCGGCUAAAUACGUGCCAGCCGCCGCGGUAAUAC
rnacentral:rRNA from 1 species